CACGUAGGGGGCAAGCGUUGUCCGGAUUUAUUGGGCGUAAAGGGCGCGUAGGUGGCCUUCUAAGUUGAACGUGAAAUCCCUGGGCUCAACCCAGGAACUGCGUCCAAGACUGGGAGGCUUGAAUCCGGGAGAGGGAUGCGGAAUUCCAGGUGUAGCGGUGAAAUGCGUAGAUAUCUGGAGGAACACCGGUGGCGAAGGCGGCAUCCUGGACCGGGAUUGACACUGAGGCGCGAAAGCCAGGGGAGCAAACGGG
rnacentral:rRNA from 1 species